rnacentral:rRNA from 1 species
GUUGCGGUUAGAAAGCUCGUAGUUGGAUUUCUGUUGAGGAUGACCGGUCCGCUCUUUGAGCGCGUAUCUGGUUCAGCCUUGGCAUCCUCUUGGGGAACGCUACUGUGCUUGAUUGCAUGGGGCGGUAUUCAAGACUUUUACUUUGAGGAAAUUAGAGUGUUCACUGCAAGCGUUAGCAAUUGAAUACAUUAGCAUGGAAUAAUAAUAUAGGACCUUGGUACUAUUUUGUUGGUUUCUAGAACUAAGGUAAUGAUUAAUAGGGACAAUUGGGGGCAUUCGUAUUAACGCGUCAGAGGUGGAAUUCUUAGAUUGCGUUACGACGAACUACUGCGAAAGCAUUUGCCAAGGAUGUUUUCAUUGAUCAAGAACGAAAGUAUGGGGAUCGAAGACGCUUAGAUACCGUCGUAGUCUAUACCAUAAACUAUGCCAACUAGAGAUUGGAGGUCGUUCUCUUUUAUGACUCCUUCAGCACCUUAUGAGAAAUC